rnacentral:lncRNA from 1 species
AUGGUGGAUAAGGUGGAACAGAUAUGUCUGAACUUGACUGGGUUGUCUGUUUUCUGCUGUUCAAGAGCUGUACAAAACAAACAUAAUAACCCUUCUGUUAAGUUCUUCACUCCUUUUAAACCUCAUCAGGGAAGUGUGAGGAUGUUGGAAUGCAUAAAGGACUUCCUUUGUCUUCACUUUGUCUUGUUCCCUGUGUGCCUGUGCACCCUCUGUUACCCACUGCUUCUCACCAUCUCUGGAGAUUACAUCUGAAAGGAAGAGUAGCUCAAGCAAAGGAAUAUGUAUGCUUAAUGAUUCCUUUUGCUGCUGUUCUUCAAAACUGAGGGCUUUGGUCUCAGUAGGCAGAGGGAAUACAGUUAUCUCCCUAGCAGAAACUCACAAAGCAUUGGCCCAUUUUCAGCAUGGACAUUACUUCAUAUUCAUCUUAAUAGGAAGAAACAGAACAGAAGGUAACCUAUGCUCUGGUAAUGAAGAAUAGUCAAAUACAGACACUAAAUAACUUUGAUAAGUAUUCCUUAAGUCUUCAGUUCCAAAGAAAGAAGGAUAUUAAAAAAACCCACAAACAAAACCAAAAACAAACAAACCAAAAAAGCACUGGUAGAAAAUCAUAGUAAAUUAAAUGUAAGCAGCUGACAUUAUUCUAGUGAUUCUUAACAGAAAAGGUCUUCAGUGUGAAAGAAACUGUGUGGAAUUGAAAUGAUUAAUCAGAAUUGGAAAGAAAUCAUUGGUAUUUUCUAGUUUCAACAGUUCCAUCAAUAAUCUUUUACCAGAGAACUGCCUAAAUCUUAACUUCUGAGAACUUGUGUUUUCUGUAAUUUUAGCUCAGGUUUACCUUUUCUUCACCAAAUUAAAGCAAUAAUAGCUUGUAACCACUGACUGUUAAGAUGAUCAUGAGAGUCUUGGUGAUUUUUAAAACAUUUUUUUCUUUUGUUAUAUUGUCAAAAGCCUGCAUAUUUAACUGCCAGUUUCCUGCACUGGCGUUCAUUUUGCUACAAACCGGAGAGAAGUGAAAUGUUUGUAUCUAGGUUAUCUAGAAUAAAUACAAAUUAUUUGAGAAUUUGGUUUAUGUC